rnacentral:rRNA from 1 species
UGCGGAGGGUGCAAGCGUUAUCCGGAUUCACUGGGUUUAAAGGGUGCGUAGGUGGGCAGGUAAGUCAGUGGUGAAAUCUCCGGGCUUAACCCGGAAACUGCCAUUGAUACUAUCUGUCUUGAAUACCGUGGAGGUGAGCGGAAUAUGUCAUGUAGCGGUGAAAUGCUUAGAUAUGACAUAGAACACCAAUUGCGAAGGCAGCUCACUACACGAAUAUUGACACUGAGGCACGAAAGCGUGGGGAUCAAACAGG